ACUCUCUCAGGGUCGCACCUGGAGAGUUUCCAGAACUCUAUCAAUCUUGAUUACAGAAGGGAGAGGCAUGCAGAGGUAUACCCAUUCCAUUCCUAGCGUGGUCAGUGGCUAGUGAGUGGAAGGCAACCUGCUACAAGU